UACUCAUUUCACCUGGGAUUGUUGAUUAGGCUGCUUCAAGGGAAAUCCUAUUCUUGAAGGUGGCUUUGACCAUCUGGAGGAGGAAAUGAUAGAUAUCCUUACCACAUCUUCGUGCAUGGCCUGCCCGGAUACAACUGCGUGGGUACUGCGAUGGAGCACAAACAAACGCGACCGCUAAAGUCGUGUAGGGUGUUUCCCUUUCAUGUCUGAAUUUGUUUAGACAGUUACACAAUCAGAGAGCGCGGAAUGAGAGAAAACAAAACCCAGGAGAAAGGAAUGCUUUGAAUCUAGGUCCCUGGGCCUUGAUACUUUUUCUUUGUUAAAUCAACCCAAGGCCCCUCCAUAUGCUGAUCAUCUUUUGCCAAUGUCUGUGUCUGAACAGGUUUUCCCAGGCAUAUAGCUCAGAAAGAACCUUUCAUCCUCCUUUUCCUGUUAUGUGUAUAAUGUGGUGUAGCCCAAAGCCACUGUGGGUUCUAAUUUGCAUGUCUAUUUCAAGAAGCCCGGAAACUAUUUGCAUAAGACUCUUGCUUCCUGAGAGAUCCCAGCAGAAGGAUGUAGAGAUAGAGUCUUUCAUUUUUUCAUUUAGUUCUAGAUAUCCAUAGUGAGAGAUCUGUGUGUCUAAACCCUAAAAUCUGUAGAAUGUGCAUGAAAAAAUCUACCACCCUAAGCGUAAGGAGAGCUAGUACAGAUGAGGAUGUCGUGGCAGAAAUUAGUACAAAAAACAUUACAACAUUUUGUAAUUUUUCUAACUUCAAGUAUUUUUUGGAGGUUUGUUGUAGAACUAUGGAAACUUGAAACAUAAAGCAAGACUAUUUAAAGGUUCAAUCUCGUCUUGUAAGAAAGAGAAACAGGUAGAGAGACAGAAAGGGGAUAUAUACUUCAUGGUCAGAGAGCUGCAGGGGCGGUUGUUAGCUGUGCAGAUGAGCAGAAGAGAGGAUAGCAGCAGCUCAACAGUGGCACCUUCAGUAGUUCUAGAGAGAAGGGAUGGCAACAGCAGUAGACCAGGCUAGUACCAGCCAAAGCAACAGAUACGUACAAUCCAGACUAGUCCUGGGCGGAAUAGGGUAGACAGGGCAGGGCCCAGUGGAGACAGCCAUGGCCAGGUUUCCCAUAGAGUUAGAGUGAGAUAAAGUGGUAACAGCAACAGGGCAGAGAGAGACUGGGCAGGAACUGCAAAGAUGGCAGCUGGAGCAGAAUGAUGUGCAUCAGGUGAGAGGAAAAGCACAAGGCCAGAGGAUCAACUGUGCAGGGUCCAUGGUGAUGGAGCACAGCAGUGGGCAGAAGUGCGGGCUGGGACCUACCCCCGUAAAGGAGACACUGGAAACCAUCGUCCAAAGAGACAAAGACACCAAUGACUAACAGAAUUUAUUGAGCUUACAAAAUCGCAGAUAAAAAGAAAAAGAAAAAAAAAAAAAGACUGGCCAAAAUGCUAAAACUCCCUCCUCUUAUGGGAUAACAAAACAGGCUACAAUUGGUUGGAAUCAAUAUGACCAACCAGAGCCUGUACAGAACCAGCCUGUGAUGUCACAGUCUGAACUACCACCACACGUUUCGUACUAACGCCCCCUGAAUUUGCACAUGCGACCCAUGAGGAGGCAUGAAGAGAUAACUGCUCAUGCCAAGACCUUUCUAGGUUUCCCCUUUCCUUCCACCGAUCACCCACUAAUCCCAGAAUCCACCCCGUAAACCUCUUCUAAUAAAACUACUCCCUUGAA